UUGGACUUUACCUCUGGCGCUAGGGAUAGGAGUCGUCGUUUUUAUCGCUGUUAUCAUCAUAAUCAUUGUCAUUGUGUUAAAGAGGGGUAAUGCUGCAACACAGUCGACUGAGGAUACGAUGUAUAGUAUUGUAUAUUCUUCAG